GAAUUGAAGAAGAAUAUGUUGCUUUGAGAUUAUAAUAUUGUUAUUGAGAUUGAGUAUAAGUGUAAAGUUUAACAUGUGUUAAUUUGUGAGAUACGUGUAAACAUGUGAUGGUGGAUUGUCACACUAUGAGAAGUGAAAUUGUGAAUGAGUUCUAGUUGUGGAUAAGUGUCUAGUUAACACUUGAUGUGAAAUUACUUGUGUUGUAAGCUAUGAAUUGUACAAUAACCCGACCAGUGUUAUCUUGAGAAAAGCGUUGAUGCGCAGUGUUAAAGAGAAAAUGUAGGUUUCCUAUUUAGGAGCCAGUGUUAAAUCAUAGUGCGAUUGUGUUGAACGUGUUUAAAA
rnacentral:lncRNA from 1 species